AGCGAACGCUGGCGGCAGGCCUAACACAUGCAAGUCGAACGAACUCUUUGGAGUUAGUGGCGGACGGGUGAGUAACACGUGGGAACGUGCCUUUAGGUUCGGAAUAACUCAGGGAAACUUGUGCUAAUACCGAAUGUGCCCUUCGGGGGAAAGAUUUAUCGCCUUUAGAGCGGCCCGCGUCUGAUUAGCUAGUUGGUGAGGUAAAGGCUCACCAAGGCGACGAUCAGUAGCUGGUCUGAGAGGAUGAUCAGCCACAUUGGGACUGAGACACGGCCCAAACUCCUACGGGAGGCAGCAGUGGGGAAUCUUGCGCAAUGGGCGAAAGCCUGACGCAGCCAUGCCGCGUGAAUGAUGAAGGUCUUAGGAUUGUAAAAUUCUUUCACCGGGGACGAUAAUGACGGUACCCGGAGAAGAAGCCCCGGCUAACUUCGU
rnacentral:rRNA from 1 species